rnacentral:rRNA from 1 species
UGACUNGAGUGCAGAAGGGGAGAGUGGAAUUCCAUGUGUAGCGGUGAAAUGCGUAGAUAUAUGGAGGAACACCAGUGGCGAAAGCGGCUCUCUGGUCUGUCACUGACGCUGAGGCUNGAAAGCGUGGGUAGCGAACAGGAUUAGAUACCCUGGUAGUNCACGCCGUAAACGAUGAGUGCUAGGUGUUAGGCCCUUUCCGGGGCUUAGUGCCGGAGCUAACGCAAUAAGCACUCCGCCUGGGGAGUACGACCGCAAGGUUGAAACUCAAAGGAAUUGACGGGGGCCCGCACAAGCGGUGGAGCAUGUGGUUUAAUUCGAAGCAACGCGAAGAACCUUACCAGGUCUUGACAUCCCGAUGCUAUUCUUAGAGAUAGGAAGUUACUUCGGUACAUCGGAGACAGGUGGUGCAUGGUUGUCGUCAGCUCGUGUCGUGAGAUGUUGGGUUAAGUCCCGCAACGAGCGCAACCCUUAUUGUUAGUUGCCAUCAUUAAGUUGGGCACUCUAGCGAGACUGCCGGUAAUAAACCGGAGGAAGGUGGGGAUGACGUCGAAUCAUCAUGCCCCUUAUGACCUGGGCUACACACGUGCUACAAUGGUCGGUACAACGAGUUGCGAGCCGGUGACGGCAAGCUAAUCUCUGAAAGCCGAUCUCAGUUCGGAUUGGAGGCUGCAACUCGCCUC